ACAAAUACAAAUUCGGAUAUGGAUUAAAUGUUUGUUUAUGUUUUGGUCAUAUAUAUAGUGUUACGAUUUUUAGUGUGUAAAAUAGUAAGUUUGUAGUCUUCACGAUUUUCUUUGAAUAUAUUAAAUAGUAAGUUUUUAGUUUUUUCAAUAUUACAAUCAUGUGUAAUUUUUUUCUUUCCCGCGGCUAUCACCUAGUUUUCAUUAAAAAAAUAAUACAGAACACUAAUGCAAGAAAUUAAUUACUGUAUUUAUUUCCCGAUUUAAAAAGUAUAUAUUUGCCGUGAUCACUAAUGCGACGUCGUUUUUACCACUUCGUCGCCUCUUCCUUUGUUCACCGUGACUCGUCCAGUGACUCGGUUGGUGCUUUGUAUCGAUUGACUCGUUCACCUGCCUGUGGUCUCGAGCGCCUCCAUCCCAUCGACUCACCACCACAGCCGCUCUAACCAAUCCACCAACUCUCUACACUGGCGGAUCCGAUGGGUCAAUCAUUUGGUGGAGCAUCUCGUCGUCGUCCGAGUUCAAUUCGGGAAUGGACUUACAUCAGAUUGUUCGGAUACUGGUAAUGCGGAUCCAUUUGUUAACUGUUGUGCAUUGGUCAGUGCUUGUACUGAUGCUGUACUGUGUGUAUAGAGUAGCAGUAGUGGGCAUUGUAGAAAGUCCGACGAUACGUUUGGUUUGGGUGUUCUCAUAUCGAUACCUAAUCUGUUGACAGAAAACUGUUAAGGUUCACUGUGGUUCUCUUAGUAAUGGAAAAGAACUUAAGCAAAUUUCUUGGAGAAGGUUCCUAUUUUGCUGAUUGGAUUUCAAGCUCUUGUUUAGAUCCCAAGGGCUUUGGUUGGUGCAGAAACUGGUAUUUCUCAUUCAGGAAUGCAGUACAGAUUAUGAUCUACAAGACUACAAAGCUUUCUUAGUGACAGUAGACAGUGUGUGUCAUCCGUCCAUGGCUAUUUCUGAGAAAAUGAUUCUCCUGCUUCAAGCCCGAGAUCAGACAGUUCGAACAGAACGACAAUGGAACACUUGCUCUCUAUCUGUUGCAGGAUGAUUCAUGUGUUGUUGCUCUUUCUUCUCUUGAGACUUUGCGGGUCGAAAUCAUGUUUCCUGGGCACCCAAACUAUCCUACAAAAGUGGUUUGAGAUGGUACAAGAGGCCACAUUGCAUGUCUUUCCGGCUCCCUUUUGAGAAUAUCAGAUCCAAUUGAUGUCUUGUACAUUUGGGAUAUGAAGAGAGGUUCUCGAGAACGUGUCCUCCAUGGGGCAGCUUCACAUUCGAUGUUUGAUCAUUUCUGUGCAGGCAUUAGUGAAAAAUCGUACUCAGGCACUCUGUUCAAUUGGAAAUACAUCAUUUUCCUCUUUGCUUUCCAGUAGGUGAAACCAUUUUAUUUGAAGAACUACGAGCGGGCAGCUUUGUCAACGUUUAAGCCAAGUGCUUAGCAGGAAAAGACUAGAGAAGAUUGUACCCAGCCAACGCCAGUUCUCUACUAAGUUCUCUGAUACUGCAAAAUACAACUUCUCUAUUAGUUCAGUAAUUGUAAACAUCCUACAGAAAUUUGUACACAGCCAACAUCAGUUCGUCAAAUUUCCCUUGUGGCUUACCAAAUAAAAAUAGUUUUUUUUUUUUUU